AAAGUCGUAACAAGGUUUCCGUAGGUGAACCUGCGGAAGGAUCAUUACAGUGCCAGCGGUGGCGCGCCUAAACAGCGUGCCCUGCUACCGGCCACCCUUGUCUACCUUACCACUGUUGCUUCGGCGGGCCCGCUCCCGGCUACGGGGGCGACCCGGGGCUUGCCCCGGGCCAGUGCCCGCCAGAAGACACCUUAAAUUCUGUUGAUCAGUGAAUGUCUGAGUUGAUUGAUAAUCAUUAAAACUUUCAACAACGGAUCUCUUGGUUCCA
rnacentral:misc_RNA from 1 species